rnacentral:misc_RNA from 1 species
UUGAUUUAGUUUUUAAUUUUUAAAAAUUUCAAUUAUUUUAGUUCGAUUCUGUUUUAAAAAGAAAAAAUUCGAUUGAACCAAACAAAAUUGAAUAUAUAAAAAUUUAGAAUUCUUGUAACAUCUGGGUUAUUUAUAGCUUAGUGGUAGGGUGCUUGAAUAACAUCUAGUGGUUAUGUGUUUGAUAUUGACCUCUAGGUUUUUGUUUUCCUUUAACUUAAACUCCAAUUAAAUUCCAGUCAUCGGUUUUAGAUGAACUCAACCAUUAAUAUUCUUGUAUAUAUAGUCAUCUUUAAUGAAAUCCUAGCCUCUUCCUCUUUUAUCCUACACAGUUGCCUUCUCUCCUCACUCCUUCUCCUUCAUCGUUGUUUAUCAUCUUGGAAACGUCACUUUUCAUUCUCGUUUGAGAGGGAUUUUUCAUCUUGGUUAGUAGGCCUUCCUUCCCUUUCAUUGGCUUCGUCUCUCUUCUACCUCACCUAUGGUAUCUUUGCCAUUAUUUGUUCUUGUUGAUCUACCCAUGAGCCAUCUCACUCAUGGUAUAAGAACAAAUAACUCAUGAUAUUCUGCCUCCUUUCUUGUUGAUCUACCCAUGACCUAUCUCUCUUCUUCCUCAAGCUGAGAAAUUGAAAAGGCGCAGACCAGCGUUGCUCUUGUUAAAGGCAUGUGAUAUGGUGGAGCUCGAAUGGUUUUGAUUUAUUUUUUAUUUUGCUUCUGUGCUUAUCUGAAAAUUGUUGUGCUUCAUUGAGUUUGGGAUGUGAUUUGCUCGAAGAGAAUUGUUGUUAGCUUGCGAUUGUUAUUUUAAAAUUUCAAUUCAUGUUGUGUUGUUCAUUUGAUACUGGAAUUGAUGUUCAAUUCUUUUUUUCUUUUUGUUAGUUUCCUACAAAUUUUUUUUCUUUUGUUCUAAGCAAUGUUGAUUAACAGAGAAAAUUUCUAGCAUAUAACCAAUGAUUCGAACCAAAUUGAAGAAAUUUCUAUCAUUACUUACUAGCGUUUGUUAUUCAUAUGUGACUAGGCAUGAGUCCAAAUUAAUUGAGGAAAUCGUCAAUGAUGUUU